rnacentral:lncRNA from 1 species
UCCUCACACCGACCAGCCCAAGGAACAUCUCACCAAUUUUAAAUCGGAAGGCAGGAAUGUCAGGCCUCUGAGCCCAAGCUAAGCCAUCGCAUCCCCUGUGACCUGCACGUAUACAUCCAGAGGGCCUGAAGUAACUGAAGAAUCACAAAAGAAGUGAUAUUUAAAUGGCCUGUUCCUGCCUUAACUGAUAACAUUCCACCACAAAAGAAGUGAAAAUGGCCGGUCCUUGCCUUAACUGAUGACAUUAGCUUGUGAAAUUCCUUCUCCUGGCUCAUCCUGGCUCAAAAAUCUCCCCCACUGAGCACCUUGUGACCCCCACUCCUGCCCACCAGAGAACAACCCCCCUUUGACUGUAACUUCCCUUUACCUACCCAAAUCUUAUAAAAUGGCCCCACCC